rnacentral:rRNA from 1 species
GAACGAACGCUGGCGGCAUGCCUAACACAUGCAAGUCGAACGCUUCUACUUCGGAGAGGAGUGGCGCACGGGUGAGUAACGCGUGGAAACCUGCCCCGGAGUGGGGGAUAACCCGGCGAAAGCCGGGCUAAUACCGCGAUACGGCCCACGGGCGAAAGAUUCAUCGCUCUGGGAGGGGUCCGCGUCCGAUUAGCUAGUUGGCGGGGUAAUGGCCCACCAAGGCGACGAUCGGUAGCUGGUCUGAGAGGAUGAUCAGCCACACUGGGACUGAGACACGGCCCAGACUCCUACGGGAGGCAGC